GGGGUGCAGGUUCUGGGAGGCGCUUACCUCAAGCAGCUCCAGGAAGCAGCAGCAUGUCCGCACUCUGGCUCCUAUGCUGAGGCGCGGCCAGGCGGGUCUGUGCACUGCCCAGUCCACAGGCGCCGCUCCUGCAGCUCCCAUUGGCCACAGUUCCUGGCCAUUGGGAGC